AUAUAUACCAGAAAUUGUAUUACAUGGCCCAUAAUUGUGGAUUUCUCCCACAGCUCAUUGAAUAUAAUUUCGUUAAGUGGGCAGGAAAACGAGAAUGAACAGAAUGGGAUGCAGUCCAGCAUUUUCUUUGGCACGGGGAGCCAGGUCACGACAGGGCUGGGCGCCCCGCCUCCCAGAACCCGCCCCCGCCCCCGGAAACAGGAACAACAAUUAGAGUUAUGGCCCUUUUCAAGCCCCAGCUAAUGACAGCGAGGAGGAAAAGGGUGGGGGAAAGUGUAACUUUUUGAGAAAAAAAAAUAAGGACUCCAGCUAAGCCGAGAGGUGACUUUGCACCCAUAUGGGAAUCAUAGUUCCCUGACCAGGAAUCAGACCUGUAUCCAAGGUACUGGAAGCGUGGGGUGCUAACCGCUGGACCACCAGGGAAGCCCCAGGAGCUUGCUGAGUGAUGCAGGCGGAUUCUUUACCACUGAGCCACGUGAGAAGCCCAGAGGCUGGGCCACCGUGUUCCCAAGCUAGACAGUUGUCCCCAAAUUCACCAUGGAAAGUCAACAUAUCCUACCUGGGCAACCCCAUGCAGCACUCACCUUUAUCGUGCUUUUCUGUAUAAAGAGAACAUUCUUUCCUCCUGGAGCUCAGGGAUCAGUGUGUUAUUCAGUUACUAACUUGUGUCCAAUUCUUUGCCACCCCAUGGACUGCAGCAUGCCAGGCUUUCCUGUCCUUCACCAUCUCCCGGAGUUUGCUCAAAGUCAUGUCCGUAGAGUCGAUGAUGCCAUCCAACCCUCUCAUCCUUGUCGUCCCCUUUUCCUCCUGCCCUCAAUCUUUCCCAGCAUCAGGAUCUUUUCCAGCCUUGCAAAAGUCAGUGAAAUUACAAGCCACGCUGUGUAGGGCCACCCGAGGUGGACGGGUCAUGGUGGACAGUUCUGACAAAAACCCUGGUGGUCCACUCCAAAUGGGUUGGCAAACCACUUCGGUAUUCUUGGCUUGAGAACCCCAGGAACAGAAUGAAAAGCCAAAAAGGAAUUGAGGAGAAAGAGAUAAGGCCCCGUCCCAUGCCCCGUCCCCGGCUGGUGCAGAAC
ensembl:lncRNA